GUGAGGGCUGUUUGAACUAUUUGUUCUCGUCUUCUUUCUUUGAUUAGUGCAUAGGAGGAGGUUAUACUUGGUUGGUCAGUGUUAAUCAUGUUUAAUAGUGAUAUAUGAUUUCAAAUCUAGCUAUGCAAGUGUGCAUACUGUGAUAUUGUGUUUUAAUUGAUAUUGGUCCAGUACUUAUUUGUUUAUUGAGUUGGAUUGAGUUGGUUACUUGUUGAAUAAUAUAAGAAAACAGGUGGAUAGUCCGAUAAAUAGAGGAAGUGCUGUCGAAUUUUCGUUAGAAACUAUAUAUGUUUUACUUGUUGAAGGAUAUUAAAUAGAUAAGAAUAAGGUGACAUGGUUAACUGAAACAUGUUAAAUGUUAACUUAUCAAUAUUGACUUUUUAAUGGCUAUAAAAGUUAAUUGUUCAACUAUGUGCUAUGUGUUUGUCUGACUAUGUGGCAUGUAUAUGCGAAGGGUAGAUAUAGAAUAGGUCUUAAUGCUUUUCGAGCUUAGUUAAUCCGUCUGAUCCGACGACUGAAAUAAUAUUUUGCCAUCGUAUAGAAUGGAACGAGACGUUGAUCGAGGCAUUGAUCGAGAAGUGAUUAAAAUGGUUAUUCAGAAAUAGCUAAGUUGUGUUGCAAGUUGAAGUUAGGCAGAGAUUGCUAUAGAUAGAGUCUUGUCAGAAGCUGGCAGAAAGGAAUGAUAUGGCACUACAUAGUGUUAUUAGAAAUCUGAGCUAGACACCGGAGUUAAGAUAAUGUUAAAGAUGGUUCGCCUAUUUAGGCUAAGCAUAAGAGUAAGGCUAGGCGAGGAUUGCAAGUGACUAAGUUUCAACCUGAUGGUCAGGAAGAGUAUCCAAGAUCGAGUCCUUGGGACUAGUGAAUGGAACGAGACGUUGAUCGAGGCAUUGAUCGAGAAGUGAUUAAAAUGGUUAUUCAGAAAUAGCUAAGUUGUGUUGCAAGUUGAAGUUAGGCAGAGAUU